rnacentral:rRNA from 1 species
GGCGGACGGGUGAGUAACGCGUAAAGAACUUGCCCUUUAGACUGGGAUAACAGAGGGAAACUUCUGAUAAUACUGGAUAAGUUAGUAUAUCGCAUGAUAUACAAAUGAAAGCUACGGCACUAAAGGAGAGCUUUGCGUCCUAUUAGCUAGUUGGUAAGGUAAGAGCUUACCAAGGCGAUGAUAGGUAGCCGGCCUGAGAGGGUGGACGGCCACAAGGGGACUGAGAUACGGCCCUUACUCCUACGGGAGGCAGCAGCC